rnacentral:rRNA from 1 species
CGGGUGAGUAAUAUAUAGUUAAUGUGCCUCUUAGCCUGGGAUAGCCACUGGAAACGGUGAUUAAUACCGGAUACGCCUUCUACUUAUAAGAGUAGUCGGGAAAGGUUUUUCGCUAAGAGAUCGGACUAUAUUGUAUCAGCUAGUUGGUGAGGUAAGAGCUCACCAAGGCAAUGACACAUAGCGGGUUUGAGAGGAUGAUCCGCCACACUGGUACUGAGACACGGACCAG